CCUACGGGGUGCACCAGUGGGGAAUAUUGCACAAUGGGCGCAAGCCUGAUGCAGCCAUGCCGCGUGUAUGAAGAAGGCCUUCGGGUUGUAAAGUACUUUCAGCGGGGAGGAAGGUGUUGUGGUUAAUAACCGCAGCAAUUGACGUUACCUGCAGAAGAAGCACCGGCUAACUCCGUGCCAGCAGCCGCGGUAAUACGGAGGGUGCAAGCGUUAAUCGGAAUUACUGGGCGUAAAGCGCACGCAGGCGGUCUGUCAAGUCGGAUGUGAAAUCCCCGGGCUCAACCUGGGAACUGCAUUCGAAACUGGCAGGCUAGAGUCUUGUAGAGGGGGGUAGAAUUCCAGGUGUAGCGGUGAAAUGCGUAGAGAUCUGGAGGAAUACCGGUGGCGAAGGCGGCCCCCUGGACAAAGACUGACGCUCAGGUGCGAAAGCGUGGGGAGCAAACAGGAUUAGAUACCCUCGUAGUC
rnacentral:rRNA from 1 species